UACCGGCUACUUCCGGUGGCUUCCACAUAAAAUGAAAAAAAAAAAAAUCGCCCUAUUCUCUCAUCUUCGACGACACGCCUCUCCUUUUCGCCCGCCGUGUUCGCUUAUCUCUUCCUAAUAAUUAAUUUUCAAAUAAAUAAAAAUUAGAAAGACAAAAAAAACCCACAACCAUAUUAGGAUUCCGAUUUUGAUUCCUCAAUCCUCUUCAUAUCUAUAUAUAAAGAAACCAAUCAAAACAAAUUCGGGUUCGGGUUUUUAAUAUUAAUAAUAAUUAGAAAAAAAAGCAGAGAGAGAGAGAGAGAGAGAUGGGGCGUUACGGCGCGGAUGAGGCGGUGAUAGCGUACAACACAUCCAAUUGGUGGCGAGACAUUAACGAUUCUCCGCUGUGGCAAGAUCGCAUUUUUCACAUUCUCGCCGGGCUUUACGGUCUCGUCGCCGCCGUAGCUCUCGUUCAAUUGAUUAGGAUACAAUUGAGAGUUCCCGAGUAUGGUUGGACCACACAGAAGGUCUUCCAUUUUCUAAACUUUCUGGUUAAUGGGGUUCGCGUGGUAGUGUUUGUUUUUCGUAGGAAUGUGCAGAAGUUACAUCCAGAGAUUGUUCAACAUAUCUUGCUUGACAUGCCAAGCCUAGCUUUCUUCACGACAUAUGCGCUUUUGGUUUUGUUUUGGGCUGAGAUCUACUACCAGGCACGUGCUGUAUCAACUGAUGGACUGAGGCCAAGUUUCUUUACUAUUAAUGCGGUGGUUUAUUCUAUUCAGGUGAAAUUUGUGUUCUAUUAUUUCAGUAUAAGUGCCCUCGAAAAGGAGAAUUUGGAGUUGGUUCUUUCCAUUUGGAAGCUAGUCAUGUUUCAUUGCAAUGUGGCUGGUAUUAUGGUGGAAGUAUAUCCCAGUUUUGGUCAUCCUAUCCAAGAUGUUUUUUGCAGGUGUGUCAUUGUUUGCAGCCCUUGGGUUUUUACUAUAUGGUGGAAGGCUUUUCUUAAUGUUGCAGCGGUUCCCUGUAGAGUCCAAAGGGCGGCGGAAGAAGCUGCAAGAAGUUGGUUAUGUGACAACCAUAUGUUUCUCAUGUUUCAUGGUCAGAUGCAUUAUGGUAGAUCACUUAUUUCCUUUCUGGCUUUACUAACCUUAUAUAUUUCAAGUUGACAAUUUUACAAGCAUGUUUUGUUACAAAAAUGAAUGUACGUUGUAGCACUUUUGUGCAGCUUUUAGAUGCAUAUAAUUUUGUAGCACUUUUGUUGCAAAAUGAAAGUAUUUUAGUUGAACCCUUUAGCUGCUAGUUGCUAGUUGCUUUAGAUUAUUGAUCUAAUUGAUCAAUUAUCUUACUGAAAUUUCAGAUCUUUGGCUUUGCCCAUUUAUGAUGCUAUUUGUCCUAAGGUUUUCUAAUUUGAGCUCUAUUGUAAUUUUUUGUUCUAGGUGUGCUUUAAUGCAUUUGACAAAGCUGCUGACCUUGAUGUUUUGAACCAUCCAGUUCUAAACUUCAUAUAUUACCUGUUGGUGGAGAUAUUACCUUCAACUUUGGUCCUUUUCAUUUUGAG